CGUCCUCGGCCGCCCCCGUCGCUCUCGCCACAGGCCUCCUGACACCCGCGCCGUCUCCGCGCAGCCGGACUGCAGGUCCAGGGCCCCGGCCCUCAACUUCAGCUCUCUGCCGGGGGUCACAGUACACGGUAUUUGCCACCGUUUCUACCCCUCCACCACGGUGAAACACUGCUGGCCUGGCAGAAUGGCUUUGCCCUCUGGGGUCCUGGCAAACAACAUUCUAUAUCUGUUCCUAUGAAUUUGACUACUCUUACUACGUCAUGAUCUCUCUGCUUGUGCACUCAAAAUGACAGAAUAUGGCCACCUUACCCUUCCCAAUUGACAGUCACAGUUCUAGCUAUAUGCAGAGAUUGAAUAGUUGUUUCUAAGUUCCAAGUUCCUAGGAGAGCAUAUGAUUGACCCUGCUUGGCUCAGGUAUCAAAUCAUCCUUGGCCAAGUUGGCUGGUGGUUUACCCAGUGCACACUGCUCCAUGAAGGCAAUUACUGUAGGAGGGGAGAUGGAUCUUGGAUCUGAAAUAUAGUCUUAGAAUUUCUACUUUUUACAAUUUGGUAGAGCUGGUGCUUAGAACCUCAGAAGUCACAAAUCAAAUGCAUCCCAAGGGCAGUUAAAUAACAUAAAUGAAUAAAGCUGACAGAUGGAGGCUGCAGUACCCAGAUGGACCACAGGCUCAAUCUAAAGGGAGCUGCUACUACUCAACUCCAACUCCAUGAGAGUCUGGGCCUGGGCAACCAAUCUUCUGAUUUUCAAAUAAACUCAGAAAUUGGGAUUUUAUGUAAAAUCUCUGUUAAAAUUUUUUAAAAAUCCCAAUGAGUGAGAAAAGAAAAAAAAAGCCAUGACUGCAAGUCAUAUCUGAACUAUCAACUUGUAGUUUAGUACUUCUGACCUAGAUCUGUCUGGUCAAUUGUCAAAUAAUGACAUUUAAAAACUCACAUCCAAGGCAGCUUCAAGAUGGCGGAGGAGUGAGACGUGGAGAUUGCCUCCCCACAAAUACAUCAGAAAUACAUCUACCUGUGGAGCAACUCCUACAAAACACCUACUGAAUGCUGGUAGAAGACCUCAGACUUCCCAAAAGCUUAAUGUGACCUUGUGAUUAAAUUCUGGUCAAUGAGAUGGAAAAGCUGUUGGAAUGAGGAUGUGAGGGCUGAAGUUUUAGCUGCUGUCUUGGACCUGAGGCAACCUUGAUGAGAAAAGCCACAAAUGUGGAGAGUGGAAAAGAAAGACAGAGGGGAAUCUCUCUCUCUCAUAUCAGACCUGGGCAUGCCUACCUUCAGACUUCCUUUACAUGUAAGAAAAACAUCUUCCGGGACUUCCAUGGUAGCACAGUGGAUAAGAUUCCGUGCUCCCAAUGCAGGGGGCCUGGGUUCAAUCCCUGGUGAGGGAACUAGAUCCCACAUUCAUGUCACAACUAAGAGUUCACAUGCCACAACUAAGGAGCCCGUGUGCUGCAACUAAGGAGGCUGUGAGCUGCA